UUUCAAACUUAGUAAACUUUAGAAAUAGCAUCUCUCUGUAUUUCUAUGAGAUGCUUAGGCCAUUUUGUUGCACUUGGUGUCUAUAUGUAAGGCAAUGAUGCUAUGUCUUCUCUUACCACGUAGUUCCUUUUUCUUGUGCAUGUCGAUGUGGAUUCUGAACAUCUGUUGUAUUGCACUUUUCUGUUUCUCAUUUAAGGUGUUCAGUAGACAUUUACAUCAAGAACAGGAAUCUGGUGACCACAUAAGCAAGUGAUGAGAUAGAAUGUUCAAUGGUCAACUGUGCCAGCUUUCAUGAGAGAUCGGCAGCAGUUGCUGCUUUUGGUUCCUUGUAGCUCUCCAUUCCAGGCCUCUGCUCACAGCUGCCUCAGAAAAACCCUCUGCUCCCCUCUUUCUCCAGCUCAGAAGUUGAGAUAUUUGGAGCCGUGUGCCCUCGGUGAAGGAUUGCUUCAGCUCAAACCAAGGGCAGGGGCUGGGAACAGAAAGUACUUCAUCCCCGAAAGCAGUUGAUCAAAAAUGAAUGUACUGUCAAAAAAAGCUGACAAGAAUAAGGCAUGAUUGUGAAGUGAAGGAUAUUCUUCUCUGGUAAGAGACAUCGGCC
rnacentral:lncRNA from 1 species